ACCUCGGAUGCAUAGACAAUUCGUGCAGACACUGCAUCAAGUUCAAAAAUCGGAAGAGACGGUAAUGUUAAGAAAAGUAUCCCUCUGGUGCCAAAAACAGUAAGAAGAAAAUGACAGAGGAGGAGAAAAACGAGCAAGAUACAGAGACACUGUUGAAGUACUUUGGAGGACAUCUCUACCACUACCUAACUCUACCUCAUCAAGUGUCUGCCUCCAUGGCUGAUGACACAGAAGGUUCGUCCACUGCAGAGUUGCAAAUACCUGAAAGCCAGGAACGAAG